GCGCGGGUUCUAGUUAGUACUACUACCGGUGGUAAAGCCACAUGGUCACAAGAGUGGUCAACUGACACUACUACUGUUAAUGGUCUACUCGAGUUCUCUCGCACCUUUCAUGGCUGCAUAUCACAGUAAUUAAAGUUGCCCCGCCAAGAUACAGGCAACUGUACUGCAAUGCUCGAUUUCAGUUGGCUCAGCAAACAUUAUCAUCA
rnacentral:lncRNA from 1 species